UGUGGCUGUCCUAACGUUCCAGCAUGUUGUAAGUUGAAUUGAUUCUGUUCUACCUGAAUUAGCAGGUUUCAGCCACUGCUGGUUAGGGAAUGUGAGACAAAAUGAAUUAGUGGUCUGGCCAUGAGGAGUAUUUAAUUUAAGAGCUCUGAGAACUGACCGCUGUGGCUUGACUUUCCUUGCUUUUUGAAACUGUGUCCAUCUUCACUUUAGCUUUUCCUUCAUCUUUAGAUUGAGUGGGUGAUUGAACUAGAUGAUCAGUAGGGGUUCCUUCCAAUCUCAACCAUUCUGGGAUUCCAUGAAAAUAUAAUGCUACUGAGGACUAAUGUUGGCAUGUAGACCUAUGCUAGCACUGUUGCAUAUAAGUUUUUGACCUCCAAGACAUAAAAUUUUCAAUGGGUCUGUAGAGGUUUUUUGUUGUUGUUUUCUUUUUUCCCCUAUAGUAAGGGGAGUAGAGAGAAGAUAGUAAAGGGAAGGCUUCAAGAACACAGCAUUCUGUGAUGCUAAUUUUAGAAGCUACAUAGCGCAGAUCUCCGUAAAAGAGAGUUAGAAAGUAUGUUUUGGUAGUUUAUUUUUUUUUUUCACUUUUAUAACUAGUAGGAAAGAGGAUAUUAGUGCUAUGAAGGAGGACAUGAAGCACAGUCCUGUGGAUUGCCUGGAUGUAGCAGGCACAUGGAAAUAAAUUCUUACACUGGAGCUCUGAAUGUUGUUCCACUUCUCUCUGGGGGUGUUAUGCUGGCUGUCUCCAAACGAACAGAGCUUCUCUCAGGGCUAGAAGUUCAAGUUGAUUGAAGUAUUUGAAUCGAAAGCAUGAAGAGUGUAAUUUCACACCUUCUCUGUGGCAAAUGAUAUUACAAGUUAUUAGCCAAUUCAGUGCACAACUCUUAGGAAUGUAAAUGAUAUACGUAACUGAAAGCCCCGGCGAUUCCGCAGUUUUUGUGGAAAUAUGGAAACAAAUCAGACAAGGGCUUCUCCGAGAAGGGAUCUGAACUGCUGUCCAGGCUGACUGUGCCAGGGAGAAGCGUGCCAGCUUCUGUGCUCAGUGACACUGCAGCUUUGUAGAAUUGAGAGGCAUGUCCAGCCGUCCCUUGACACCUCCAGGAGCACACGCCGUGCCAGGCUGUCGGCUGGAGGGAGUUUGCACUCCUGAGUCUGGCUGCCUGGGGGAAGGGGAAUGUUUGUUUGCUUGCUCCUUGGAGUCGCCUGGGUGCCUCUUAUUUAAGGAUGUGAUUGCAUAUUGAACGUAACUGUAAAAUCCAUGGUGUGACUGCUGACUCCCUAAAAGUUCUGAAAGUUUGUCUCAAGUGAAAAAGGUUUUUGGUUUCCUAAUGCUAUGUUUUAAAACCAAGUUCUUAUUUUCAAAGCAUGAAGUAUACCUUAAUUGAAAACUGGGGAUCUUAAAGCCAUCCCUCUCUUAAAUGGUUCAUUUGGAAUAACUGUGAAUCCAAAUGAAGGGCAAAUCGCACUAGGUUGUGAAUUAUCAGUGUUUAUGGAAAGGCAAACUCUGUUUCUUUCCCUACUGCCCUUGCCACAAUGAGAGCAUUGCUUUUGUGCAACAUAAACUGCAUUUAGGAAUGGUCUUGUGCUUAAAAGCUUUUUAUUAAUGAGGCCUAUUAGCAAUAAUGAAAAACGGCAGCCUAAAAGUGCAGAGCUAGCCAGAAAAAUGAUUGUCCCAGAAUGACAGGAUGGCUGCGUACUUGUUCUUGGCUUAUUUGAUUUGGAGCAGGGGGAGCGGUGUGUGUUUGGCCCUGGAGGAAACUGUUCUCCUGCAGACGUGCCCGUGGGGCCCAGAUGGGGACUGGUGGGGCUGGGGCUCCCCAUACCACAGCUUCCUGGGCUGAGCCUCACCAAGCCCAUAGCAGGCCUUUGCUUUCCCAAGGCUCAGCAGGGCAAACAGUGGCAGGACCCAGCUUCACAUCUGUUAGAAGGAGAAGCUCUGACUCAGCAGAACAUAGUGGUUGUGUGCAAUAGGAAAACGACUUUUUCACAUAAUUAUUCAUCUGUCUAUGUUUGUGUUGUAGUGUGUUACCACCUCCGCAUCAUGUGCUUUUUCAGUUGGGACAGAUAUGCAUUGCUUUUCAUUGCAUGAAUAAUUCUGCUUAAGGAAAGGGGAUCCUUUGCAGCGACUAUAUUGGAUUAAACAUAUGAAAAAAUGUUCCCACCGCAUUCCUGCUUAGAAGAUGACACAAGAAGAUUGCAUCAAUGUUGCUUAUUCAUGUGAAUAAGCCAGGCACUACAGGGACAGUUUGCAGAAGUAGAAGCUCCCUUUAUCUCCCAGCUUUAGCAUCCUCCAACUCUGUGCUAUACCCACAUGUCCGUGCUAGUAAUUUCCUUUUGAGACACAACAGCCUGCCAUGGCACACUGCCGGCUUGGAAUAGCUUCCUCUGAUAUGGGACUGGCUUGCCUGUCCUCACUGAAAAGGAUUUCUCUGCUUAAUUCUCUUACUCCUGUUUGUGCUACAUUGUUCUUAAGAAAUAGGAGUUUCAGGAGUUAUAAGAUUCUGUGCCUUGGGAGGAUUUUCGUGGUGUGACGGGAUUUUAGGGCAAACAGAAGAUCAUUUCAUAUCAAGAUGAUGAUUCUUCUCUUCUGGAGGCAGUAUUGCUUGGUGAAGAAGGCUGGAGGGAGAUGAUUUAUUGGCUCUGUUCCAUGAGCGUCCAACCUUUUGGCUUGCCUGGACCUCACUGACUGAAGGGGAAUUGUCUUGGGCCGAUGUUUUGGUUGUUGCUGAGUGAUGAGUGCACACCUGGGUUGAGCCGGGCCUCUCAGCAGAGAACAGCUGCUACCAUGAUAGCACAGAGGGUAGGGCUAAUUACUAGCUCUGCUGGGCCACGUGCAGGCCACAGGUUGGACAUGCCUGCUCUAAACUAUGGCUGCUACUUCAAGCUGAAGUAUCAGAUCCUUCAGUAAUUUAAAUGGAUUUCACCUUCCAGUAAGCCAUCUCUUAACUGUAUUCUGCGGCAGGACUCAGUGCUUGGAGCUCAGUAGGCUUGACUGGGCAGCAUGGUGGUGCUUCCUCUGUCUCAUCUGUGGUGCUGAGGAGAAGGGUGGCACUGGGCGCUCCUGAAACAUAUUCCAUGCUGCAGGGAAGGCAUUUCAAGCCACUUUGCCCUUGGCUCUAGCAGCUGCAUCUUUCCGUUGGAGAUAACUCAUCUACCUUUCACACAAGAUGGAGUCCACAUGUUAGCAGCCCUGCCCUCCAGCCCUACUGUGGGGACAACCAAGCACUCUGUAGGAGCAUGCAGUUGCUUGAAGGGUGCCUGGGCACGUGGUUGGGCUGGUUGCAUGGGGAAUUCGGGAACUGAUGCUGAAGGCAUGCAGGAGCAUUGGUAGCAGGCUGGGUUAAAGCAGAGAUGAGACUGAUGCUGUGCACCAAGCUGCCAUGUCCUUGAUAGAGCUGGGAACAGGGAGCAGGCUGCCCGUAGGGCUGUCAGUGCUGCUGCAGGGUGAGAGGAGGAAAUCAGCUCUUGGUGCAACACACUUUAUAGUCUGGCUGCCAAAAGCACUGAAUGAUGCCAGGUUUGUGCAUGUGCUGUUUGGCUUGAUUUUAUUUUCCAGGUCUCACUUUCCUGCUGUACAUUUCUACAAGGCCAAGAUUGUGCUGCAGCCCAGAAUUCUUUCACUCACACCACUGGUUGGCUGUGUUGGCAUGAAGCAAGUAAACGCAUUCAGUUUGGGAAUAACUUGAGCCUGACCAAAGCACAUCAGAUUGUUGAGUGGGCAAUAUCAGUGAGAAGACAAAGAGCAAUACUGGGCCUCAACGUUUUUAAGAGCAGACCAUCUUGAGCUUUCAUUUGUGUUCCUGCAAAGCAGGUUACUCCCUAUAUGAUGCUUCAGCAUAUGCUUAGGAGAAAUAAUAAAGAUGCCUUUUGGGGGUUUUGUUGCUCUCUUUCAGUAGUGGGAGAAAGAAAGGGAAACAGCUAGAUUUAACUUAUGCUGAUGAACACUGGAAGAUGUAGAAUAAAUAUCUGAGUUAAUAAAUAUAUUUACUGCAUUAUAUUUCUGCCUAAAUAUGACUCAUUACUUUUUUUGCCCAAAUUAUAUUCCUGAGAGCGUCUGAUCACUGUACAGGUAAAAACUGAGUUUGCCCAGUAGCUAAGAAUCGAGGAUGCAUUUUAGUAUGAUAAAGGCAAGUCACUGAAGAGAUUCUCUCUCAGGGUAGCUGCCUGGGACAGGGUGAAACAGAUUUAAACUUGGCAGCAAACAGACAAUACUGGAAAGCACCAUAGCACUGAUGGUAUAUAUUUCUGAUAUACAUUGCCCUGUGCCUCCUCGGACUGCCUAGAGUGAUCUCUCCCAGCUUCUCCUACACAAGGACCUCGGUUGUUUAAUAAAACAGAAUAGCCCUCUCAGAACCCUGCCUGACAGUCUUUCCCUGGUAAUCUGGGUGUUCUUCUCUGGUUUGAACGCUUGCAAUGUCUUCACUGUGCAACAGAUUAGAGAGGGCAAAACUGGUUUAUCUUGGUCCACAAUAGUGCACAUUGCCUUUGGCAUGAUGCUGAUGCAGUGUUUCCUGUCAGCCUCUGUUCUUGGUGUUGUCUCCUGGUUCUCCUUUUUGAAACUCCUACCUCCCCUAUCUACUGUGACAGUUUGAUCAUUGGUUUCCACAGACCUCUCUUUGCCUUCUUUGCUCCUCUGGUGCAAUCCCCGCCAUUUAUUUUUUUUUGCGUGUGGAGACAUAUAUAUGCAAUAAUAGCAGUGUUUCCCAUAAGCAGGCAGUGAUGAGGUUUUCUAGAUCUGCUACUCACUAUAUGGUUUUACCUUGAAAGCUUCCAUUUCUCUAGUAAUAGAUUCAAGUUUGCUAUUAUUUUAAUACUGGAAUAAUUCUUAAUUGUAGUCUCCAUUUGAUCCUUGUAGGGCAAUUUUGGAGCUUUAACAGUUUCUGCUUUUAACUUCAGAUCACACAAAUUUGUCUGUGUUUGCUGGCUUCCUCAGCAGCUAGAACAAGAGAGAGGAUUACUGUGUGUGUUCAUAGGAGAUCCUACUUGCUGUGUCCAGGAACAAGGGUACUCUGGUUUAUCUGUUUAAAGAGGAGUAGACAGAUAUCAGACACUGUCUGUUUUCCUCAUUGAUGAGGAGCUUUGGUUCUGCUUGUCGGUAGCCAACAGCAUAAUUUCUUUUUUGGGAAAUUGGCGUGUACCAGUAGCUGCUGAACAGCCUGUCUCUAAAGCAAGGCUGUCCCAAUAGCAGUGCCAUAUUUGCAUUACCGUAAUCCAGAUCUCCUGUGAUCUUUUGGUAUUAUGUCAUUGGGUUUUGAUUAUUCCUUCUUUUAGGUGCAAAAUCUAUGCCCACGCAAGUUGCAGCCCUGGCUGUACUGCUGACUCCUUGGGAUUUUCAAACAAAUUACUUUAUUCUCGUUCUUCUUUUAAUCUGAUAAAUGGAAUAUUUUCCUUCAAUAUAUGAUGAGAGGAUGGUAAAGAUUGAUCUUUAUUCUGUUCUUGUAAAAAUGAUUACUUCUUAUAUGAGUGCCAGGAGAUAUGACGAGAAAAAGCUCAAGGAGCUCUGAUGAACAGUUCUCUCUUGUGCUGGAUCAGAAAUUAGGGAUAAACUAAUGCAGUCAGAAGACAAGAACAUCGUAUGGGCUGACAUAAAACUCCUGUGGGCACUAAUUCUCUGAGUAUUGUAGCGAAGGGCAGUGAAAUCACACUGAAUAGCUGCAUGAGCAGUUGCAGCCAGUGUGAGCCGUGUUCUGCUGCUGAAGGAUGCAGCCCUUCUCCUGACCAUUUUUUCCCUCCUUGCGCUAGCACAAAUUCUUUAUAUAGUUACACUGUGAACCAGGUUAAUGAUGGAUCAGUUCAGCUCUCCAGUUCAGUACACUGCUGCAUGAAUGCUUGCGCCAGCAUCAGAAGCAAAGAGGAUGCAGGGCCAUUAGGAAACAGGGCAGAGAAAGGAUAGUAGAAGCGCAGUGACAGUGUUAUAGCACAGGAGCCUCCUGAGCUUGCUGUUGGACAACUUUGCACCGAUGUAGUACCAGGGAAGUGAUUUCUUUAUUCCUAGAGAUAUCAAAAAAAUUUGGCUUUAUCUUAGCUGUGGCCUUUGGGGAAGAGGGUGAAGGGAAUCAGUGUUCCAGGAGGAUUUUGACCUCAUACAGUUGUACUUCUGGGAUCCUCAUUUCCAGUAGUCUGGCUAGGGAAUCGGAGAUUCCACUGCAUUGCUGUAUGGCUAAGUUGCUAAAAUUUGAUAUUAAGGGUAGCAUGGCUUUUUGGAGGAAGCAAGGGGUUCUUCAGUUGAAAUAGUGUCUUGCUAUGGUGCUGACUUUCCUAGUGUGCGUUUCUUUGCACAAACAGCUCUUGUAACAAAAGAUGCAGGAAUUACUGUGCCUGUGAGGUGUACUUGCAGAGAGGCAUGAUCUGGACAGAAAUCAGGACUGGCAGCAGUUAGCCUCGCCUCUAGCAGGGAAUAUUCUUGUUCUGGAAGUUUGGACUUGGUCUGAUGGCAUUGUCUAACCCUUCUCU